rnacentral:rRNA from 1 species
UACGUAGGGUGCGAGCGUUAAUCGGAAUUACUGGGCGUAAAGCGUGCGCAGGCGGUUUUGUAAGACAGGCGUGAAAUCCCCGAGCUCAACUUGGGAAUUGCGCUUGUGACUGCAAGGCUAGAGUAUGUCAGAGGGGGGUAGAAUUCCACGUGUAGCAGUGAAAUGCGUAGAGAUGUGGAGGAAUACCGAUGGCGAAGGCAGCCCCCUGGGACGUCACUGACGCUCAUGCACGAAAGCGUGGGGAGCAAACAGGAUUAGAUACCCUGGUAGUCCACGCCCUAAACGAUGUCAACUAGUUGUUGGGGAUUCAUUUCUUCAGUAACGUAGCUAACGCGUGAAGUUGACCGCCUGGGGAGUACGGUCGCAAGAUUAAA